rnacentral:rRNA from 1 species
AGAACGAACGCUGGCGGCAGGCUUAACACAUGCAAGUCGAGCGCUGUAGCAAUACAGAGCGGCAGACGGGUGAGUAACGCGUGGGAACAUACCCUCCGGCUCGGAAUAACUCAGGGAAACUUGAGCUAAUACCGAAUACGGUCGAGAGGCGAAAGAUUUAUCGCCGGAGGAUUGGCCCGCGUUCGAUUAGCUAGUUGGUGUGGUAAUGGCGCACCAAGGCGACGAUCGAUAGCUGGUCUGAGAGGAUGAUCAGCCACAUUGGGACUGAGACACGGCCCAAACUCCUACGGGAGGCAGCAGUGGGGAAUAUUGGACAAUGGGCGCAAGCCUGAUCCAGCCAUGCCGCGUGAGUGAUGACGGCCUUAGGGUUGUAAAGCUCUUUCGCUAGGGACGAUAAUGACGGUACCUAGACAAGAAGCCCGGCUAACUUCGCGCCAGCAGCCGC